rnacentral:rRNA from 1 species
UACGUAGGGGGCGAGCGUUGUCCGGAGUUACUGGGCGUAAAGCGCACGCAGGCGGUCUGCUAGUUUGGAGUGACAGUUGGUGGCUAACUGCCAAAGUGCUUCGAAACUGACAGACUUGAGGGCUUCAGAGGGACACGGAAUCCGGGUGGAGUGGUGAAAUGCGUAGAGAGUCCGGACGGAACACCAAAGGGCGAAGGCAGUGUGCCUACGGGGAGUACCUGA